rnacentral:lncRNA from 1 species
UCAGAAGCAUUUGAAGAUUCAGAGGCAUUCGAAGAUUGGGAGCAUUUGAAGAUUGAGAACAUUUCAGAGAUCAAGAAGAAUAGAAGAUUUUUGAAGUGAAGAUCAAGCAACAACGAAGUUCGUGAUCAAGCGGCAACGAAGUUUGUGAUCAAGAUAUUGUGUUCGUGAUCAAGAUUAAGUCGUGAAAGCCCUUGAAGCGAAGAUCAAGUGUUUGUGAUCAAGAUUAAGUCGUGAAGACCCUUGAAGCGAAGAUUCGUGAUCAAGACUAAGUCGUGAAGACCCUUGACGCGAAGAUCAAGUGUUCGUGAUCAAGAUUAAGUCGUGAAGACCCUUGAAGCGAAGAUCAAGUGUUCGUGAUCAAAACUAAGUCGUGAAGACCCUUGACUCGAAGAUCAAGCACGUUCGUGAUCAAGACUAAGUCCAAGUUUGCGACUCUUGAAGAUAAAUUGAAGAAAUUAAUCAAAGAAAUUUUCAGAGAUCAUCACUCACUUCAUCAAAUUUUUGUAUUUGUCUCAUAAUUUUCAAGUGAAGAAAUUUCGACGAAAAAUUUGUGUGUACAUAUAUAUAUAUAUAUAUAUAUAUAUAUAUAUAUAUAUAUGAUAUGCAUCAUAUGAUACAUUAUAGUAUAAAUUUAAAAUAAUAUAAAUUAAUAUGUUAUAGCGUAUUUAUUUAAAUAUAAAAAAUAUAUCAUACGAUAUACGAUAUGUACAUAAUAUACAAUACAUGUAUACCG